rnacentral:rRNA from 1 species
GAUGAACGCUGGCGGCGUGCCUAAUACAUGCAAGUCGAGCGAACGGACGAGAAGCUUGCUUCUCUGAUGUUAGCGGCGGACGGGUGAGUAACACGUGGAUAACCUACCUAUAAGACUGGGAUAACUUCGGGAAACCGGAGCUAAUACCGGAUAAUAUUUUGAACCGCAUGGUUCAAAAGUGAAAGACGGUCUUGCUGUCACUUAUAGAUGGUUCCGCGCUGCAUUAGCUAGUUGGUAAGGUAACGGCUUACCAAGGCAACGAUGCAUAGCCGACCUGAGAGGGUGAUCGGCCACACUGGAACUGAAACACGGUCCAGACUCCUACGGGAGGCAGCAGUAGGGAAUCUUCCGCAAGGGGCGAGAGCCUGACGGAGCAACGCCGCGUGAGUGAUGAAGGUCUUCGGAUCGUAAAACUCUGUUAUUAGGGAAGAACAUAUGUGUAAGUAACUGUGCACAUCUUGACGGUACCUAAUCAGAAAGCCACGGCUAACUACGUG